rnacentral:rRNA from 1 species
AACGAACGUUGGCGGCGUGGAUUAGGCAUGCAAGUCGUACGCGAAAGAGGGGGCAACUCCUCGAGUAAAGUGGCGAACGGGUGAGUAACGCGUAGGAAACCUGCCUUCGAGAUGGGGAUAACACUCCUAACGGGGUGCUAAUACCGAAUGACACUGCGGGAUCGCAUGGUUCUGCAGUCAAAGGUGGCCUCUGCUUGCAAGCUACCACUCAAAGAUGGUCCUGCGUCCCAUUAGCUAGUUGGCGGGGUAACGCCCACCAAGGCGACGAUGGGUAGCCGAUCUGAGAGGAUGACCGGCCACACUGGGACUGAGAUACGGCCCAGACUCCUACGGGAGCAGCAGUCGAGAGGCUUCGGCAAGUGGGGAAACCCUGACCGAGCGACGCCGCGUGGAGGAUG